UACAGAGGUCUCAAGCGUUGUUCGGAUUCAUUGGGCGUAAAGGGCGCGUAGGCGGCGGGGUAAGUCGGGUGUGAAAUCUCAGAGCUCAACUCUGAAACUGCACUCGAUACUGCUCUGCUUGAGGACUGGAGAGGAGACUGGAAUUCACGGUGUAGCAGUGAAAUUCGUAGAUAUCGGGAGGAACACCAGUGGCGAAGGCGGCGAUCUGGGAAGAUACUGACGCUGAGGUGCGAAAGCGUGGGGAGCAAACAGG
rnacentral:rRNA from 1 species